rnacentral:ncRNA from 1 species
CUGUCUGCGUCGCUGCGCGCCCACCCGCCUGUGGAAUUUGUAAUUGGCAUCACGGUUUCUUUCGGUGAGCUCAUAGUUGGGUGAGCUCUCCAUAGUGAGUGUUAUAUUCUAGUAUGAGAAAUUAACGAUUUAAGUCCUUCUUAAAUGAGGCCAUUUACCCAUAGAGGGUGCCAGGCCCGUAUAACGUUAAUGAUUACUAUAUGAUGUUUCCAAUGAGUCGUGUUGCUUGAUAGUGCAGCACUAAGUGGGUGGUAAACUCCACCUAAAACUAAAUAUAACCAUGAGAGCGAUAGUAAACAAGUACCGUGUGGGAAAGUUGAAAAGAACUCUGAAUAGAGAGUUAAAUAGUACGUGAAACUGCUUAGAGGUUAAGCCCGAUGAACCUGAAUAUCCAUUAUGGAAAAUUCAUCAUUAAAAUUGUAAUAUUUAAACAAUAUUAUGAUAAUAGUGUGCAUUUUUUCCAUAUAAGGAUAUUGUAAUCUAUUAGCAUACAAAAUUUAUCAUAAAAUAUGGCUUAUAGUUUAUUUAAAUUAAAAUACUUUCGUUUUAGCACAAAAUAAAUGUCAUUAAUUUGAUAAAGUGCUGAUAGAUUUAUAUGAUUACAGUGCGUUAAUUUUUCGGAAUAAUAUAAUGGCAUAAUUGUCAAUGAGUUUUGUGUUUAUUAUAUGCACUUGUAUGAUUAACAAUGCGAAAGAUUCAGGAUACCUUCGGGACCCGUCUUGAAACACGGACCAAGGAGUCUAACAUAUGUGCAAGUUAUUGGGAUAUAAACCUAAUAGCGUAAUUAACUUGACUAAUAAUGGGAUUAGUUUUUUACUAUUUAUAGUUA